rnacentral:rRNA from 1 species
UGGCGGACGGGUGAGUAACGCGUGGGUAACCUGCCCCAUACAGGGGGAUAACAGAUAGAAAUGUCUGCUAAUACCGCAUAAGACCACAGCGCCGCAUGGCGCAGGGGUAAAAACUCCGGUGGUAUGGGAUGGACCCGCGUCUGAUUAGCUAGUUGGUGGGGUAAAGGCCCACCAAGGCGACGAUCAGUAGCCGACCUGAGAGGGUGACCGGCCACAUUGGGACUGAGACACGGCCCAAACUCCUACGGGAGGCAGCAG